rnacentral:piRNA from 1 species
UAAGAGUUUGGAAGACUUAAGAGA